CGAAAGAUUGACCCAGUUACUUAUUAGAAUGAUAUAUUCAAAUAUUAUAUAUAUUUUUUAAUAUAUAUUAAAAAAAAUAAUAUUAUUGAAUAACAAUAAAAUUCAUAAAUAACUAAAAUAAUGAUAUUAGUUACUUUUUUAAAUAAAAAAGUUAUAAUUAUUAAAUUAUAAUUUAAUAGUCCUAACCAAAAUUUGUGCCAGCAGCUGCGGUAAAACAAUGGGGGCAAGCGUUAAUCAUAAUGGCUUAAAGAGUUCGUAGAAUGAUAAUAUAAAUAUAUUAUUAGAGUUAAUUUAUAUUAAUUAAAGAAUUAUAAUAGUAAAGAUGAAAUAAUUAUGAUAAUUAUAAGACUGGUAUAUGUGAAAAUAUUAAUUAAUAAUUAACUGACAUUGAGGAACGAAGGCUAGAGUAGCAAUACGGAUUCGAUACCCGAGUAGUUCUAGCAGUAAACUAUGAACACCAUAUAUUAUAAAAAAAUAUAAUAUAAAAAUGAAAAUGUAAGUGUUCCGCCUGAAGAGUACGUUCGCAAGGAUGAAAUUCAAGACAAUAGACGGUUACAGACUUAAGCAGUGGAGCAU
rnacentral:rRNA from 1 species